AGUCUGAGCUGGGCUCUGAAGAACCAGGCUGGCCCUACAUCUCUGAACUCAUGGAGAGGCUGGGGCAUACAUGACCCUGGAGCUUUUAUCAUGUCUAUCCUGUCACAUCGUAAGUCAGACUCAAAGCAUCAAUCACGUCACAGCCCUGGGGUACAGAAGCCACGCAGUUGGAGGAAACUAGCCUGAAUGACACCAGGAAAGGAAAGAGAUGGACUGUUCCAGACACCACCUUCAUAGAUGUUCCAGAAGAAACAAGGCAAUUUUAAUUCGUCUUUAGAGGCAGCCGCAGAGGCUUAUCACGGUAUAGUACCUGAAGAACGGGGAUACAGGGGUGGCCAUCCGGCUCAGUGAUGCUCUCAUUGUUCUUCACGUUGCUGCAUGAGGGAAUACAUGGCAAGCAGGGAGUUGUAAAACUUCCGAGGCAAGAUGGCACCGUGGUUGGUGAGAGAAGACUCUGUGACACGAGGAUUGUGACAAUGCAAAAUAGCCGCAUGGGGUGGACUUAUCAAUUGCUGGCAAUAUUACGCACACAAAUACCCAUUGCCUCAGCAAGUGUGCCUCUCAGAAACCGUUUCCAAGGAUGGACUGGCAAACUGACUCUGAAUUGUGUUUUGCCUUAGUACAGGUACUUUCAGCAGGCUACCAAUGAGCUACAUUCAAUAUUUUGAUUGUAGUUACAUAAUAGUGUAAGAGAAGAGGCACAAAUAUCUGUCAGCUUGGUUGAAUAAACUGUGGUACAAACACA
rnacentral:lncRNA from 1 species